rnacentral:rRNA from 1 species
GCAAGUCGAGCGCACCCUUCGGGGCGAGCGGCGGACGGGUUAGUAACGCGUGGGAACAUACCCUUCACUAUGGAAUAGCCUCUGGAAACGGAGAGUAAUACCUUAUACGCCCUUUGGGGGAAAGAUUUAUCGGAGAAGGAUUAGCCCGCGUUAGAUUAGGUAGUUGGUGGGGUAAUGGCCUACCAAGUCUACGAUCUAUAGCUGGUUUUAGAGGAUGAUC